rnacentral:lncRNA from 7 species
AUGGGGAGCGGGAGCGCAUCGCCCCACCUCGAGCCGUCCCUGAGCCUUCCGAGCUCUCCCAGGAGGACAACGGGGGCCUCGCUGCAAACUGAUUUCCAGGCUGUGACCCGCCCCCCCCCACCCCCCCCCGGGCCAGAGGCUCCCCCGGAGAGUGCGGUCAGAACGGCGGACGGCGCCGUCCAACCUCCCGCAGCCACGAGCACAGCGGAUCCGGCACGGGAGAGUUCGGGCAGCGCGGAGCGGUGCGCUUCGGCCAAGGGUGGCACCGGGAUCCCAGCGCAGUGCCGCACUCCGCGCGGCCGGGCUUUACGCACAGCGCAGUACGCGGGAGGUGUCUUUACGUUUAACGUUUUAAUUUGGACAUGCUAAUUAGGCUGUGGGUCUCCACGGUUCUAUCGGCGGAUAGCUGAUCGCUUCCCUCUGCGAGGAAGUGACUGCUAAAUACAUUUCCCGGCCCCGAUCUCCGUUCCCAGAAGCCCGUCUAGCAGAACCGUCCCGUCGGGCGAAACGGACCUUUAAUAAUGGAAGGCCGAGGGAGGUUCUGCGCAGCGGCGCACCGCCUCGGGCACGGCCCCAACGCGGCCCUCUGCAGCGGAGCCAUCGAAAUAACUCCGUGCCCAGCGAACUUGUUGCUCGCUUUCAGCUCCUCCGCUCACCCCGGCUCGGGUCGGUGCCAGGCGAGGGGCAGAGGCAGCCUGGGGGAGAAGCCGCCGCUGUCGGGGUGAGAAACUUCCCGGGCUCCAAAGCCGCCCGCUCUGGGCGUCGAGGGGCAGCGGCCGCUCCGCUGCUGGGAACUGCGCCCUGGCCAUGUGUUUUUCCCGUGUGGAACGUUGCUCGCAAGUGCGGGAGGUGGAAAGUUUUGUUCACGUCAUUAUCUCAAAGCUUUCCCCGCGCGGUCAGUGGACGCAGAGGCUUCACUCCGUUUUCCGAAUGAAAACCCACGGACGCUUGAUGUGAAAAGUGCAUGCUCCCGUGGGCCGUGCUUUCCCCGAUUACUUUCUUUUUUCUUUUUCUUUUUUUCUUUCACUUUCUUGGCUCCGUCCCGCCAGGAUCUCUACGUUUACGGGCUGUACGGUUUCCAGGGCUCCAAUGGGGCUUUCCCUGAUGGAGGCGAGGAACAGAACUUUCCCACUCGCUCGGAAACUGCCGAGGAUCCGGCGGGGGGAGCACACAAAGAGGCCCCAAAUCCCCCCCGGGGCUCAGGGACAUCCCCUGCAGGUGCAGGACCAAAGCUGCAGGGAUGGCCCAAAGCGGUGCAUGUGUCGCUCUCGUCCCCUAUUAUGAGCGCUACGGGAGUGAAACGGGGGGUGGGGAGCGGGUUCUUGGGACAGCGGUUCUUGAGCCCACGCACGUUGGUGAAGGGAAACGCGGGGCCGUGCGCGCCGUCGGGCUGAGCCAGGGUUAAUGCCUGCGGGCCCAGACACGCUGUGCUCCGGGGGGGGGGGGGUGGUGGUGGCGAGGGGGCUCUGCCAGCUGCUCCCGCAGCGUGGGGAGCGGGAGGGGCGGAAAGGAGGAGCCAUCAGCUUAGGGCACACAAAAACAUUUAAAAAAAUAAAAUAAAAAAAAUAUAUAAAAAGACUACUUUUCCAGGCUUAACACAGCCAUUAAAUAUUAAAAGUUCAAAAAAAAUUAUAUAUAUAUGUAUAUAUAUAAAAGACCACGAGUCGUUUUAUUGCAUCUCCACGGGCUUAAGCGCUUUAUUUGGGCGAUAAAAAAUAUUAAAACAAACAAAUAAAUAAAUCAAAAUCGUGUGUGUAAUUGGUGCCCUCACUCCCUUGACGGCCUCGGAUCCCUCGCAGGUAUCGCCCCCCGAUCCCGCAGCUCCACCCCCAGCAAUCCCGGGCCGCUCCCCGGGGGUGCCCGCACCGCACCGCACCGCACCGCAGCGCGCCGGGCUGAGCGGGGCCGGGAGGGGCCCACGGCGCCCCCUGGCGUCCUCCCGCCGCCCCGGGAGCGCUCGGAAAGUUGGUUUUGUGCAGCAAGCCGUGUCGUAUAAAAUUAACGAGGACCAAUAAAAUUAGCUUCCAUGUUUCAACUGUAAAAGUCCCCGAGAAAAGCGAGGUGGUACGGGGGAAGCGGAGGGGCUCUGGUUUGGCUGCGCUCUCUUUGGCCGAACUGGGGCCCUUUUAUCUAAAGCCCAGUGCACAAACAUAUAGCUUAAUGUGACUAGUGUUCUUCCUUUUAUUUCUUUCUCUAUGGCAACCAAUAUGUUCUGCUCAGAAAUGUUCCCCCAUCAAGGAAACAAAUGAUCGGGAGGGAGCAGCUCUAUGCGGCAUCUGUUCCGAUGGAGCGCACAGAGUUAACCCCGCUCAAAGGAGCGCCGGGCGGCGGCGAGAAGUGGAAAAUGAGCGAUUCUGCUCCCCCCGCGCGGAAACCGACACCUCCCGGGCCCCCCAGCCCCCAUUGAUCUGCCCAUCGACCGCUGCCAAAGGACUCAUGCGAGGGAAUUAGGGUGAUGGCGAGGAUCGCGCGUCCAAAAGAGCAGCGGCGGGGGGGGAGGAGGGUGGAGGUCGGGGGGAGUUGGGGGGGGGGGGGGGGGAAUAUAUCUCUGUAUUGAAAACGGUGCGGAAAAAUGAAAAUAAAGACAAGUCGCGUCACGGGAUGUUGAAGCCUGGAGAAGUUUGCAGGCGCGUUACAGGGCCUACUGCCUUCACCCUACGUUAUACAGCGCGGUACCGACGGCUCUGACCCCGGCGCUGGGGGGUUCAGCUCUGGCCACGCUGCCCCGGCACCCUCGGGCCCCAGCGAGGCGCUCCGCUCUCCCUGUUCACCCCACUCCCACCCCCGGACCGCACGACCCCUCCUCACGGCGUUCACCCCCUGCCCGCCCCCGAGGCGGCAGGUGCCGGCCCGGCCCGCGCCCCCGCGCUGCCCUCCGCACGCACAACGCGGUGCGUUUUCCAGACCUUUCCUCAUCUCUCCCCCCCACCCCCCCCCCGCCCCCACUCCGCCCCCCACCCACCCACCCACCCACCCCAGGCCCGAGCGUUACAAUAAUGAAAAGUGAAGCAGCCUCCAGCAGCCUCCCCAGCCCCGAGGAAGCGCUGUGCCACCCGAGCGCUGGAACCAAUCCGCGCUGGAUGGAAUAUUUCACCACGGCGCAGUUUGGUGAAGAUUUUUUUUUUUUCCCCUUUUUCUCCCCCCCCCCCCCUUUCUCCCUCCCCCCCCCUUUUUUUUUAAGGCUGUCGCCGUGGGUUUUCCCCGCCUUGUCCUAAAGCUGUUGAAAACACCCAUCCAACAGACAAGAAAAGUAGAUAAAAAACGCCAAGCACUCACCGAGCGCACUCCCAGCACCGAGGAGAUGCGGUUGGGCGUUCAUUUGGGGUUUUAAUGGGGUGACGGGGGCACAGCGCGCCUUCUCGGCUCCGGCACGGCUCUCCCCGCUCCGCAUUUCCCUCGCACUGACUCCGCCGAGCCCCGCUCUCCGCCCGUCUAUUAUUUUC